UAGAUCAGUGAACAACGGGACUUAAUGGAUGCCAUUUUUAAAGACUAGCUGUGUCGUCUGAGAGGAGUUAGUCAGUCAGUCUGUUCACCACAACAAGGACGCAACGCCGCAGUUGAUUAUAAGGAUCAUCACAAUGCUACGGAUAACGCUUCUACUGACGCUCGUGGCGCUCGCGUGCCACGCUGCUCCUUCCUCUGACGAUGCAGCUGUCGAGCCUCUAUACAGAAGUGUGACCAUCGCCGACUUACAAGACUUUGCUCUAUCACAGAGUAAAAGUCUCAUAAACAGACAGAAAGGCAGAAUCAUCUCGAAAACUGUCGACAAACUGAUCAAC
rnacentral:misc_RNA from 1 species